GUGAGAGCACACCGGUGAACCCAUGCUUGCUUUAUCUUUGCAUGUUUUAGUUUCUCCUUGGAUAUCUUGUUAACUGCAGCUGCUUUCCAAUGUCCUAUUUUUGAUUGUUUUGCCAGAUUUUUGGUUAAGCAUCAAAAUGGUCUUUUCAGAUUUUUCUUGGUUGGAUAUGUGUUACUAGUUAUUCAUAUGAAUUAGUGGUGUUCCUGGAUCUACUAUAAAGAUGUUAGUAGUUGUGGUUGGAGUUAGUUAGUUGUUAUAUGAUGCUUUUAUUGUGAUUUUUAUUUAUUGAGAUUAAAAAGAAAUGAAUUUAUAUCAUGCAUCACUUUUAUCAAUAAGAAGUGAAUUUACUGCUGAUGCUGCACAGAAAGAGGAGGAAUUUGUUUUCUCUGAUAUACUUGAGCGGCCAGUACCUUCUCUAUUGCGGGGUUUCAGCGCUCCAAUCCGUCUUGAAUCUGAUCUCUCUGACAGUGAUCUGUUUUUCCUCCUUGCUCAUGAUUCAGAUGAAUUCAACCGGUUUGUCUAUCUCUAAGCAUUUGUGCCAUUUUUCUUACUUUAAGUGACUGAUGGAAAGGUAUUUUGUACUCUUUUUUUUUUUGUUUCAGAUGGGAGGCUGGACAAGUCUUGGCUAGAAAACUGAUGCUCAGUUUAGUCUCUGAUUUCCAACAAGGGAAACCAUUGGUUCUGAACCCAAAGUUUGUGCAAGGGCUAAGAAGCGUACUUAGUGACUCGAACUUGGAUAAGGUAUGGCCAGUGUUUUUUCCUCAUCUUCCUCCUCUUGUUUGUGGGGAGGGAGGAGGUAGAAGAUUCUUGCACCAGAGUAGAUAGAAGAUGUAAUGCACUAAUGAGGCUUAAUCUUUUUGUUAUCCAGGAAUUUAUUGCAAAGGCAAUAACACUACCAGGUGAAGGAGAAAUAAUGGACAUGAUGGAAGUUGCAGAUCCUGAUGCUGUUCAUGCUGUUCAAUCUUUCAUCAGGAAGCAGCUUGCAUCUGAACUGAAAGCAGAGUUUUUACGCACAGUAUGGCCAGUCACCUUGGGUUUACUUUAUUUGUACUUAAUGUCUCCACUUCUUGAUUAAUCACUUUGGGUGAAUGAAUUUGUCAUACUUCACAGGUCGAAAACAAUAGGAGCUCAGAAGAGUAUAUGUUUAACCAUCCUAACAUGGCCAGGCGUGCUCUAAAGAAUAUUGCCCUUGGUCUGUGUUUCUUCUCUUGGUCUUGUGUUUCUUGGCAUCAUGGUUUUUAAAGUUUCUAGAUUAUAGUAACUAAUUUAAGUAGUUACACCUGUCUUUUCCACCAUCUGCAGCAUAUCUUGCAUCACUUGAAGACCAGGAGUUAACUGAGCUUGCAUUGCAUGAGUACAAAACUGCCACAAAUAUGACCGAUCAAUUUGCAGCUUUGGCAGCCAUAGCCCAAAAUCCUGGGAAAACUUGUGAUGGAGUACUUGCUGACUUCUACACCAAGUGGCAGGAUGAAUUUUUGGUGAGUCUUUUGCUGAGAGCAAUUCAUUUUACUUGUUUUGUCGUGCCCUGUUUCACCGAGGACAAGUAUAUUUGGAAAACAAUGACUUCCAUGAGGCUAUUAUAUCAUUGGAAGCCAUUUCAAGGAACAGAGCAUUGAAGUAAUUUUGUUAUCUCUUGUUGGAUAAUAUGUUCUCUCUUUCUGAUAGGUUGUGAAUAAUUGGUUUGCCCUUCAAGCUAUGUCUGAUGUUCCUGGUAAUGUUGAGAAUGUUCGGAACCUCUUGAAUCAUCCAGCAUUUGAUCUGCGCAAUCCAAACAAGGUAUGCAAUCAUCAAUAACUGUUUAUGUUUGUUUGUGUGCGCACCUUCAUGUGUCAAUUUCGAAGUUUUGAUUGAAAUUGAACCCUUUGUGUGAUAUGCAGGUACACUCACUCAUUAAAGCAUUCUGCAGCUCACUCGUGAAUUUCCAUGCAAAGGACGGGUCAGGCUACAAGUUCUUGGGGGAGAUUGUGGUGCAACUGGACAAAAUUAAUCCUCAGGUUUGUUUCUAUAUUACAUCCACGGAGUAGGAAGUAAAUUGUCGUUAUCACUAUGCUCAUGGGAUUGAUCAUCUGUAGUUGCUUGUUCAAUAACCUCCGUGGAUUCCAGAUGGCAUCCCGUAUGGUAUCAGCCUUCUCAAGAUGGAAACGCUAUGAUGAAACCCGGCAAAACCUUGCCAAGGUAAGUAGCUGGUGCCAUUUUUUCUGUGGAAUAACCAUCCAAAAGCAUUGAUGUUGCACACAUCAGAUUUACCUUUGAGAUUUGUUGUUGGCUGGCAUGUUAAUUUGUAUCCAAAUUGGCACGGUUUAAUGCAGGCACAGCUGGAGAUGAUCGUGUCUGCCAAUGGACUGUCAGAGAACGUAUUUGAGAUCGCCUCAAAAAGUUUAGCUGCUUAAAUGCCUAAAAUUUGCAGGUUGCAGUUGUUUGUCAUCAGUGCUUGCGACGGUGAUGUGGGACAAUAAGUGUGUUUGGCACAUUUGCAAGAUCACCAUGAUAAGCAUGCUGUCCUCGUUAUGUCUCUUUCAUGGAAGAGACAGGAUUCUGUAACUUUCAAUACAUCUUUACAUGGAAUAUUUCCCAAAAUAAUACCCUGAUGAUGCUUUUUUCUUCUUGGUUGGGUGAACUUGAAUGUUACUCCACUGAUGUUUUAAUGAAUAGUGUUAUAAGAGGAGGGGUACAAUAAAACUCUUCUUUUUUUGUUAACGAGAUUGUUAGCUUACGCUACAUUGUAGGCUAGAUUAAGAUUCUUUUCAAUGUGAAAAAUGUUCAAGCAUGGCUAAUAAGUUUUCUAGUAGAAAAAAAAAAAAAGAUUAUGUGAGAAUUAAUUAAUUCGAUUUGACAUGUUUAACUUGAUAGGUUUAAAGGUAACCCAAAUGACGAGUAAAAUCAUAGUCUAACUAAAAACACUCAAGACAACCAAUUUUUUUUUAAAAAAAAUAUCAAAACAUGAACAUAUUAGAAGGAUUUGAGUCAACUUGUUAAAUUCGAAACUUAGAUCAUGAUAACUCAAUAUAAAACAAAUCAAAAUAAAUUAUGAAGUUAAAUUCUCAAUCAAUCCAAUAUUGAAUGAUGAGAUUGAAAAAAAAAAUAAAAACAAAAAAAAUAACAUAAGCUAGCUUGAGCUAACAUGUCCAAUUCAUAACCUGAGUCGUGAGACUAGGAAAACCCCUUAAAAAGUAAAUCGAAACAAAUUAUGAAGUCUAAUUCUACGGUCAAUCCAAUAUUGAAGAAUGAAGUUGAAAAAAAUAAAUUAAAAAAGGACACAAAAAAUGACCCUAGUCAACCCGAGUUAACCGUUAAACCCAUGAUCCGAGUUAUGAGAUCGGGAUAACCUCAUAGAAAACAAAUCAAGAAAUUGACCCGUGACAACCCAAAUUACCUUGCCAAAACCGCAACUCGGAUCAUGAGAUAACUUUAUAUAAAACAAAUUGAAACAAAUUAUGAAACACAAUUUUUAAUCAACCUAUUUUUGAACAAUGAAAUUGAAUCCAAUAAAAAAAUAGACGAAAAAUAUCUCGAGUCAACUAAAAUUAACCUACAAAACUUGUGAUCAUGGUCAUUAGACCAAGAUAAUAUAAUAGAAAUUAAAUCGAAACAAAUCAUGAAAUCCAAUUCCUAAUCGAUUUAAUAUUAAAUGAUGAAAUAAAAAAAACACCAAUUAAAAUGAAAAAAUCCAAGUCCAUUGGGUUAAUACGCUAAACUCGUAACACAAAUCAUGAAAUUAGAAUAAUUACAUAAAAAACAAACAACAAAAAAAUCAUGAAGCUUAAUCUAUAAUGCAUUAAAUUAAACGUUGAAUAAUAAUAAUAAAAAAAAAACAAAGGCAACGAAAAAAAAUACUUAUAUAAUAAAUAGUAUUUUUCAAGGUGAUGCGCUGGAAGAAAAAACUAUUGAUUUUAGUAUUAAGUUAAUUAAUUUUAAUUCCAAUAUCAUUUUUUUAAGCUCAAAUAUAAUAAUCCAACAAGCAUUAUUAUUACACCGAUGUUCCAGACGUUCCCGUGCAUACGAUAUCCUGGCUGUACUAAUUGAAAAGAUAAUCAGAAGAAAAAAUUGUUAGGUGUGAGAGAGAGAGAGAGAGAGAGAGAGAGAGAGAGAGAGAGAGAGAGAGAGAGAAGUGGGGUAAAGGUUUAUGGGCAGAUUUUACGUAUGCUCUCCCAACCAGGAUUUUAUGCUCUCCAGAUUUUUUGUUAACACAUGUAAUCACCAAGAACAAGAGGAGCAGAAGGUGUUAAUGGAGUUUUAAAGUUUGAACUUGAGUGAAAUUACAUUCCUCAACUGCCCCCCACAAGUAUUGCCCCCCCAACUUGUGGACAGCCUAAGAGCACAAGAAGUAUGUGAAAAGGAUAAACAAACACAAACUUUUCUUUUUUCUUGGUGUUUUGUAGCUGUUUAACGGACAAAAGCUUAAUAAUCUUCCCUUUUUUAAUGGGAGCACAAUUAUUUGGUUUGCUUUCUCAUUUCUCCAAGCCCUUUGCAACCUAUACGGGCCAUGGGGGAGAAAAUAAUCACCAUUCUAAGUUUGAUCUCAACCCUCAACAUUGAGUGAUAAUUGUCUACUUUUGAGUAGCAUGUCUAAACCCACUAGACAAUAGUGUAGAAUAUCUUGUGUUGUUUUGUUUGGAAUUUUUUUUUUUAAAUUCGAGGAAACCCCACCUCUCGAAAAGUGUACUUUGUGAGCCCAGGUGAGCGAGUAAAAUCACGGUUAUCCCAGACUUUUACAAGAGGUGCACGUCCUGACUCGAACUCGAGACCUGCUGUGUAGAUCUCAAGCUCUUUACCAUCACGCUACGCCCCUUGGGAACUUUUUUGGACUGAUAAAUCCAAAUUCAUAAAUGUUAGCUUACAAGCUUAAAAAAAAAAAAAAAAAACUCUCAUAGUUUUAUCCUGAUGUAACCUUAAAGAUCGCAUAUUGGAGUAGCACUUGGUGCCUCAAAAAGUAAUUGAAAAUACCUUUUCAAAUAUGUUUAAAUUAACCAAAAAAAAUAUUCAACUUAUUAUGUUUUAAUGAUAUUGAUAUUGUCAUUAAAACAUUCACAUUUUUAUUUCGUAUUAAAAACGGAAAUGUAUCAUAUUCUCACAGCUAGUAUUGGAACUUCAACGUAAAUGCAUCGACAAGCACGCGAUUCCGACCAAAUCAAAUCUAUGGAUUUCAAAAAAAAAAAAAAAAAAAACCAUAUCUACAAACUUAGAUGUUAGAUGUUGAGGUAAUAGAUUUGGCUCGGCAUUCCGAUUCUUAACCAUUAUGUUAAAUAUUUUAUUUAUUUUUGUGUUUAAAAUAUUUUUUUAAAAAAAUUAUUUUUUUUAUUUUUUUCUUGCUUUCAAAUUAAGUUUUUUGGUAUUUUUAUAUUGUUUUAAUGUGCUGAUGUCAAAAAUAAUUUUUUUAAAAAAUUUUUUAUUUUGAUAAAUUUCUUAACCAAAAAUACUUUGAAAAAUAACUGUAACCAUAUUCUCAAACACCCAUUUAAUAUAGUAAAUGGGUGGAUUUUUUUUGGCUAUAAGUAUAAAUAAUAAAACUUUAGGUUAUAAUCUAGGUAGAAGAACAAGGCAACCUUUGAAAUGUAGAGACGUAGAUGUCUCACAGGAGCUUGGCAUUUUCUUUUUGAGCUAGAGUGAGUCAGAUUGGAUUAAAAGCAAUCAAUUUUUGAGUUAGAUUAGCUUAAAAAGAAUUUACCAGGACCGAAGCAUGUCCGAGCCAUGACCGAAUGUGCUUGUUGGUUUUUCAAAAUUUCUUUAAAAUCCAAAAUUGACGCCAUAUCCAAGACUUGGAAGUGAAUACAACGUAAAUGAUACCAGAGCCCACCAAUCACCCAGACCGAGAAUUUAAGUAUUAACACAGUAGCCCAUCUCUUGUUUCGGGCCUAGUGUGUGUGUGUGUGUGUGUGUGUAUUCCACAAGAUUUUUCAUUCAAGAGAACAGGUUUACUGGACCAGGAGAGCCCAUGUUUCUAAAGAUGACAGGCUCUUACAGACUGUCUUAACCAAACUAACUCCCUAUUGGACAGGACAGAACAAAACAAAAGCAUAAUUAUUAGAUCAUUAGACUUUUAAAUGUAAUUGAACAUCUUUUACUAUUUCCUUACAAAUCUGUGGGGUUGGAGGCAGGUUGUGACACGCAAGGCGUUGAAUGAUGAAGUUGUCUUUUUGAAAUGAAGGGUGUAUUAGUUAGAAGGAUUUAUCGUUUAGUAUUCUAUUCACUAAAAAAUCUAUAAUUUAGAAGAAUCUAGAAAACAUUGUGACACGCACAUUCACUCAUGCACCCGAUAAAGUGUCAUGGAAAAUUGUGAAUUUUUUCCGUGAUUGAUUUGUUUUGCUUGGUGUUUCAUGCAUGUAUAUGACCUUAUUGUGCAUUCCUUGACAUAUUUUCAGAGAGAUAAGCAAGACAGAAGGAGACUAAUUUGUGCAGUCGCCACAGAACCAUUACCCAAGCAAGUUGAAGAAUCCAAAAUGGACGCACCAAAAGAAAUCUUUCUCAAGGAUUACAAGUUGCCUGACUACUACUUUGAUUCGGUAUGCAAAAACUUAGUCGAGUUUGGAAUAUAGACAUCUAGGACUCUGAUUUUCUUUCUUUGGCUUUCACUUAUCCUCAUGUACUUGUAUCCUUAUCUUAGGUGGAUUUGACAUUUUUGCUGGGUGAUGAGAAAACAAUUGUUAGUUCGAAAAUAACUGUUUUACCCAGAGUUGAAGGUAACUAUUAAGGCCAUUCUUUGCUCGUAGAAUUUGAUCAGACAUCUGUAGGAAAUUUGCAAAUGUUGUUCUUACAAUGGCAGUUCAUACCAUAGCACUGGCUAAUCGAACACUAUUGUUGAAUAGGUUCUUCUUCUCCGCUAGUUUUGGAUGGAGCAGACCUGAAGCUGCUUUCAGUUAAAGUCAAUGGUGAGGAACUGAAGGUAUGUAUAUUUCACUCUUCCAGAUGUUGGCUUAGCUUGUGGAUUUUUCCACUUAACUAUAUUGGAAAGCUUUUUUGCCUUUUCGAUCCUGAUAUUUGUCUACACUCUUUCCUAUAGGAGGUUUUGAUAAUGUUAUACCUUUUCCUUUUUUUGCAUUUUAUUAGUCCAAGGAUGCUGACACCCAGUUAGAACAGUUGCCAUUUUGUGAUGUUUGGCACUUUAUUCCUUUUCUUUCCUCAUCUCUCUCUCUGUUUUUUUUUUCUCUUCUUUCUCUCUUCUUUCUUUUUUUGGGGCGGGGAGGGUUUAAGAUAAUUUGGUGAUGAUUUAACACAACUUUAUUUUUGCGCUUUUCUUUUUUCCAGAAUGGAGAUUAUCAUUUGGAAUCACGCCAUUUAACAAUCCUAUCACCACCUUCUGGUAAAUUUACGUUGGAAAUUGUUACUGAGAUAUAUCCCCAGAAGAACACAUCAUUGGAGGUACAACAUAUUUUCUCUCGUCCUUUUCACAGAUGCUUCUUGUGACUGUUUGCUAGAUUUGAAGUUGCACUAUCCUUUUUUCUCUUUAGGGACUUUACAAGUCAUCUGGGAAUUUCUGCACUCAAUGUGAAGCAGAGGGUUUCCGCAAAAUUACAUAUUAUCAGGUUAAUUCAUAGAACCAUUUAAUUCUAUUGAUUCAUUCUGCUAAAUACAACUUUAAAAUAUUUUAUUUUAAUAUGUUAACAGGAUCGCCCUGAUAUAAUGGCAAAAUACACUGUCCGGAUUGAAGCUGAUAAAUCUUUGUACCCAGUAUUGCUAUCUAAUGGAAAUCUCUUGGAACAAGGAGACCUUGAGGUGAAUUUACCUGUUAUGUAGAAUAGCCUCCCCCAUCCACCAAAAAAUAAAAUAAAAUUAAUCACCAUCGAAUGUCUGCUUCUCUGGUUCUGUUGCAGGGUGGUAAGCAUUAUGUUCUAUGGGAGGAUCCCUUCAAGAAACCUUGCUAUUUGUUUGCAUUGGUUGCUGGACAGCUGGAGAGCAGAGAUGACAUGUUUGUUACCCGUUCUGGUCGAAAUGUGUCACUAAGAAUUUGGACCCCUGCACAAGAUGUACCCAAGACAGCACAUGCCAUGUAUUCACUUAAAGCAGCAAUGAAAUGGGAUGAGGAUGUUAGUAUCUUCCUAUCUAACCCAUUAUUUAAAAAUAACAUCAAACCUAACUUUUGGGUUUUAGUGUUAAGAGUCUUACCAUUUUAUCAUGCGACUCUGCAAACAGGUUUUUGGUCUUGAAUAUGACCUAGAUCUCUUUAACAUUGUUGCUGUCCCUGAUUUUAACAUGUAAGUUACAUUCUUUGUUUAGUAAAACGUGCUCAUAUAAUAGCCCUUUAUCUUGUUUGAUCUGUAUAAUGGUGACAAAUACUGUUAGUUUCAUGCACUUAAGCACUCACACUACUUGUUUCUGAUUGAUUGUCAGGGGAGCCAUGGAGAACAAAAGUUUGAAUGUAUGUCAUCUAACAUUCUCGAGUUCAUCAUCAUUUAUAUUUGUUUAUUUUAUCUUCUUAUUAACACCAAAAAUUAAUUGAUCUUAUCUAUAUGGAUUUCCUUUUGGCAGAUUUUCAAUUCCAAGCUUGUUUUGGCAUCCCCAGAAACUGCUUCAGAUGCAGAUUAUGCUGCUAUUCUUAGGGUUAUUGGCCAUGAGGUUUGUUAUGAUAUAACAGAAGGAGCAUAUUUUUUCAAAACCUUUUGUAUGAUUCCGAGGAAUGUAUUGUUUUGACUUGAAUUUUGUCUUGUUUCUAUCUGCAGUAUUUCCACAACUGGACAGGCAACAGGUUGGCUUAAAGUCCUCCCAUUUUUUAUCCUGUCUUUAUGCCAGUGUUAUUGCAUUCUAUUUUUAUAUGCAGAGAAAUAAGAUCUGUGUUGUUGCAGUAUGUUUGUAGUGGAUUUGUUGUUCUAGUGGUCAUGGAGAUGAAUGUAUUUUUUAUUGCUUUUGUUUUAUUGUGAAUUACUGUAUGUAUUGAAACUUUAAUUAAGUGAUAUCUGAAUAAAUGCAGGGUUAUGAAGCUGACGCGGAUCGUCGCACGAUCGGGCCUUCUAACUGUAUUUCGUGAUCAGGUAGAACUCUUUUCUUUCCUAUAUAACGAGUGGCAAUUUCAUAGUCAUAUUAGUACCUUCUUUAUUUAUUCUUGAAAAUCUUUCAACAAUGCUAGGAGUUUUCAUCUGAUAUGGGAAGCCGCACUGUGAAGAGGAUCUCUGAUGUUUCAAAGCUUCGAAUUUCUCAGUUCCCACAGGUUCUUUCUUGUCCUUUUUCACAAUUUUGAAGUGAUGUCUUAAGUAUUAAUCUUCAGGUGUUUAAAUUACUUUCACAAUUAUAAGUUGAUACAUGAGUAUGCUUUCUCUAUAAUUUCACAUGGAUUCUGAUACAACAUACUAUAUGCAAGCACUAACAAAGCUAUUUUGUAAUCAUUCAGGAUGCCGGUCCUAUGGCUCAUCCAGUGCGACCACAUUCAUAUAUCAAGGUAUGAAAUCUACUUAUUUAUCAAAGAACUUUUCUGUUAAACUAUCUGCUUGCUUUAAACUUAAUUUUUAGAUGUGUACUGUAUUCAAUGUCGCUGCCUCUUUAUCCACAGAUGGACAACUUCUACACAGGUUAGUUUCUGCUCUGUAUGACUUAUUCAGUCAAAGCUUCAUGAAACACUUUGCUUUCAAGUGGUUUGGAAUUUGGUCUUUUAACUUUUUUGAUAUUUGGCUGUCUUUUGCAAUGACGUUGGGUUCAUUCUGAUACGGGACUUUUCACCGCCAAAAAUUUGCAGUGACGGUAUGGUUUGGAAAUUUGUGGUUGCAUCUUUUAAUUUUGUUCAGUUUUCCUCCUUUCACGAGGCCAGUUACCUCAUUGUUAAUCUUUUGGGUUUUCUUUCUUGUUUUUCUUCGUUGCAGGUGUAUGAAAAGGUAUGAAAGCAUUCUCAUCUUGUGUAUAUGUGUGCAUGUGUGUGGAUAAGGAGCACUGUUGAUGCAUCAAAUUCUUAUUUUUGUGUAUCAGGGAGCGGAAGUUGUCAGGAUGUACAAAACCUUAUUAGGGAGUCAAGGUUUCAGAAAGGUAUUCUUGUGUGAUAAUCAGCUAUACCAUAAAAGUGUGCAUCCUGGAAAAUUUAACCACAAUUGUUUUUCGUAUUUCAGGGCAUGGAUCUUUAUUUUAAAAGACAUGAUGGUCAAGCUGUGACAUGUGAAGAUUUUUUUGCUGCCAUGCGAGAUGCAAAUGAUGCAGAUUUCGCUAAUUUCUUACAAUGGUAUAGACCUGUCUUUUAUUUUCUUUGAAUUACCCUCUGUUUUUUUAUGCUUACCUUGGAAUGUAAUAAAAUUACAGGUACUCCCAAGCUGGUACACCUCUGGUGAAAGUUACUUCAUCUUAUGAUGCUGAAGCUCAUACUUUCACCUUAAAGUUCAGGUAUACAUGCUAACUUCCUUGCGAGAGGCAUGAUCUUCCUUUAUUAGUCUUGUGGUAUGACUGACAACUCGGAAUCUGGAUAUUCCACAGUCAAGAAGUACCACCAACGCCAGGGCAACCAGUUAAAGAACCCAUGUUCAUUCCUGUGGUGUUAGGGCUGCUCGACACAAGUGGCAAGGACAUGUCACUCUCGUCUGUGUAUCAUGAUGGAGCAUUGAAGUCUAUUGCAAGUGACAGUCAACCAGCCUAUAGUACAAUUCUUAGAGUAACCAAGGUGAGAGCACACCGGUGAACCCAUGCUUGCUUUAUCUUUGCAUGUUUUAGUUUCUCCUUGGAUAUCUUGUUAACUGCAGUUGAUUUCCAAUGUCCUAUUUUUGAUUGUUUUGCCAGAUUUUUGGUUAAGCAUCAAAAUGGUCUUUUCAGAUUUUUCUGGGUUGGAUAUGUGUUACUAGUUAUUCAUAUGAAUUAGUGGUGUUCCUGGAUCUACUAUAAAGAUGUUAGUAGUUGUGGUUGGAGUUAGUUAGUAGUUAUAUGAUGCUUUUAUUGUGAUUUUUAUUUAUUGAGAUUAAAAAGAAAGGAAUUUAUAUCAUGCAUCACUUUUAUUAAUAAGAAGUGAAUUUACUGCUGAUGCUGCACAGAAAGAGGAGGAAUUUGUUUUCUCUGAUAUACUUGAGCGGCCAGUACCUUCUCUAUUGCGGGGUUUCAGCGCUCCAAUCCGUCUUGAAUCUGAUCUCUCUGACAGUGAUCUGUUUUUCCUCCUUGCUCAUGAUUCAGACGAAUUCAACCG
rnacentral:lncRNA from 1 species